GUGAGGAAUAUUGCGCAAUGGAGGCAACUCUGACGCAGCCAUGUCGCGUGCAGGAAGAAGGCGCUACGCGUUGUAAACUGCUUUUAACCGGGAAGAAACCCCAGGACGUGUCCUGGGUUGACGGUACCGGAGGAAUAAGCACCGGCUAACUUCGUGCCAGCAGCCGCGGUAAUACGAAGGGUGCAAGCGUUAUCCGGAUUCAUUGGGUUUAAAGGGUGUGUAGGCGGAGCGUUAAGUCAGUGGUGAAAUCCUGCAGCUUAACUGUAGACUUGCCAUUGAUACUGGCGCUCUUGAGUGCGCUUGAAGUGGGCGGAAUGUGCCGUGUAGCGGUGAAAUGCUUAGAUAAGGCACAGAACACCAAUUGCGAAGGCAGCUCACUAAGGCGAUACUGACGCUGAGGCACGAAAGCGUGGGGAUCGAACAGGAUUAGAAACCCGGGUAGUCC
rnacentral:rRNA from 1 species